rnacentral:SRP_RNA from 1 species
UGUUGGUCCCCGCGCAAUGUUAGGCUAUGAACUCCGCCAGGCCCGGAAGGGAGCAACGGUAGUAGCUGAUUCAUGUGUUGCGGAGUGGCUGGCAAGA